UGUGGCUCAGCUGGUAGAGCAUGCGCUGUAGAAAAUGUGUAGGCAGCGUACAUACGUGGGUUCGAAUCCCACCA
rnacentral:tRNA from 1 species